UUUAAAGAAAGGUGUUGGAGCAUCAGUUGCUGAAUGUGAAGAAAGAAGGCUUGAAAGUUCAUGGAAUUUUCGUCAGAAAACAAAAAUUGUACAGAAAAAAGACUACAUUUACUGCAUUCAAAAUAGCAACAAAAACUUUUCCAAAGGACACAACAGAGCACAUGGUCAUUGCUACAGAUGUCUGAGUUCCCAUCUGGAUGUGGGUUGGACCUAGACUGGCCACGUGGACCUACCUAAUUGCAUCAUAUACAGAAUGGUGCACAUUUCAUCAUGAACUGACAUUUGGAUACAGAAUACAGACUUUUGCAUGCUGCUGCUGUGAUCCAUACCCAUUCACCCUUCUAGAACCACCUCUCACUGUGUCCCUGGACUCUUGGCUCAAACCAUAUCAGCUUAAAUAUCUACAUUCUGGGAUCAGAACCAUCAUCUCUCAGGGAAUAUCGUUCUUCAUAAUACUGAGAAGGACAGAUGGGAAUUUGUGACUUCUCUCCUCUGAAAGCAAAGAAGAGGAAGCCUUGAUGCUGUGAACCUCUCUUGGUUCCUCUGGCUGGCACCUGCCCACGGCGACCUCUUGGAUCUCUCCCCAGAGCCUCCUCAGCGACUAUCCUAAAGAUCAGGUCUCUGCUACACACAUCUGUCACCAUAUUCCUUGUGCUUUUCAGGCAACAGACUUGGUUGGUUGGUUGGGUUAUUGGAAAUAUUGAUAGUUAUUUACAAAAAUGCACUAGUGCACAUAAGCUUUGUCUGAUUUGGGGAUUUUUUGUUCUAUUGACUUUUUUUCUUGCUCAUUGCUUUUCAGUUAUUUUCAUACUUCUUAACAUAUUCUGUAGGACAAGCAAGGAGACAUAUGCAAACUUAAAAAGAAAACAUACAAGUAUAAUUGUAAGCAGGUGUCUGACAAGGUGAAGCUACAAAUGAAAGAGUUCUGGGGUGUGACUUCUACUCAAGGGGUGCGGGGUAAUUUCCUG